rnacentral:rRNA from 1 species
GAUGAACGCUGGCGGCGUGCUUAACACAUGCAAGUCGAACGAAGCACUUUAUUUGAUUUCCUUCGGGACUGAUUAUUUUGUGACUGAGUGGCGGACGGGUGAGUAACGCGUGGGUAACCUGCCUUGUACAGGGGGAUAACAGUUGGAAACGGCUGCUAAUACCGCAUAAGCUCACAGCAUCGCAUGAUGCAGUGUGAAAAACUCCGGUGGUAUAAGAUGGACCCGCGUUGGAUUAGCUAGUUGGUGAGGUAACGGCCCACCAAGGCGACGAUCCAUAGCCGACCUGAGAGGGUGACCGGCCACAUUGGGACUGAGACACGGCCCAAACUCCUACGAGAGGCAGCAGUGGGGAAUAUUGAACAAUGGGCGAAAGACUGAUGCAGCGACGCCGCGUGAGCGAAGAAGUAUUUCGGUAUGUAAAGCUCUAUCAGCAGGGAAGAUAAUGACGGUACCUGACUAAGAAGCACCGGCUAAAUACGUG